AUACGUAGGGUGCGAGCGUUGUCCGGAAUUACUGGGCGUAAAGAGCUCGUAGGUGGUUUGUCGCGUCGUCUGUGAAAUUCCGGGGCUUAACUCCGGGCGUGCAGGCGAUACGGGCAUAACUUGAGUACUGUAGGGGAGACUGGAAUUCCUGGUGUAGCGGUGAAAUGCGCAGAUAUCAGGAGGAACACCGGUGGCGAAGGCGGGUCUCUGGGCAGUAACUGACGCUGAGGAGCGAAAGCAUGGGUAGCGAACAGGAUUAGAUACCCUGGUAGUCCAUGCCGUAAACGGUGGGCGCUAGGUGUAGGGGUCUUCCACGACUUCUGUGCCGUAGCUAACGCAUUAAGCGCCCCGCCUGGGGAGUACGGCCGCAAGGCUAAAACUCAAAGGAAUUGACGGGG
rnacentral:rRNA from 1 species